GGGGAUAACGUUCGGAAACGACCGCUAAUCCGCAUACGUCCUACGGGGAAAGCAGGGGACCUUCGGCCCUUGCGCUAUCAGAUGAGCCUUAGGUCGGAUUAGCUAGUUGGUGAGGUAAUGGCUCACCAAGGCGACGAUCCGUAACUGGUCUGAGAGGAUGAUCAGUCUCACUGGAACUGAGACACGGUCCAGACUCCUACGGGAGGCAGCAGUGGGGAAUAUGGGACAAUGGGCGAAAGCCUGAUCCAGCCAUGCCGCGUGUGUGAAGAAGGUCUUCGGAUUGUAAAGCACUUUAAGUUGGGAGGAAGGGUUGUAGAUUAAUACUCUGCAAUUUUGACGUUACCGACAGAAUAAGCACCGGCUAACUCUGUGCCAGCAGCCGCGGUAAUACAGAGGGUGCAAGCGUUAAUCGGAAUUACUGGGCGUAAAGCGCGCGUAGGUGGUUUGUUAAGUUGGAUGUGAAAUCCCCGGGCUCAACCUGGGAACUGCAUUCAAAACUGACUGACUAGAGUAUGGUAGAGGGUGGUGGAAUUUCCUGUGUAGCGGUGAAAUGCGUAGAUAUAGGAAGGAACACCAGUGGCGAAGGCGACCACCUGGACUAAUACUGACACUGAGGUGCGAAAGCGUGGGGAGCAAAC
rnacentral:rRNA from 1 species